rnacentral:tRNA from 3 species
GCCCGGGUGGCGGAAUCGGUAGACGCACGGGACUUAAAAUCCCGGGCCGUAAGGCGUGCGGGUUCGAGUCCCGCCCCGGGCA